rnacentral:lncRNA from 1 species
UCAUGCAGGAGCCCAGACCUAGCUCAUUCUGCUAGGUUUUGCUCAUUUUGCCAUUCUUUUACAGGUCUUCCCACCACGGCCUUUCCCAGUUAAACCGACCCUUCCCAACAGGGCACUGCAGCAAGUGUUCCCAGAAAUCCAACUCGCCUGACCACAUUUCCAGCGUCUAGAAAACCACUUGCCGAGGAAACAAGUUACUCAGGGUUGCUCAGAGAUGCUGUGACAGAAACAGGAGCUCAGCUUGGGUCCCCUGCCUCUCAGCUGGCCAACUGUACUCUGCUGGCAGCCUCCCACCAGCUCCAAGCCAAAAAAAGAGUCUCCAGUUCAAGGUAUGUUUUUGUUAUUGUGCAACGCUGUCUAUAAUUUGGGUAAAAUCCUG